CGGCGCCAAAAUCGAACCCGCCCGGGCCCGCCCCGCCCCUCGCCUCGCGCGCAGGCCCGGCCGCCGGAAGACCCGCCGCCCGCGUCAUGUCAAAGAAAAAAGGACUGAGUGCAGAGGAGAAGAGAGCCCGCAUGAUGGAAAUAUUUUUUGAGACGAAAGAUGUGUUCCAACUAAAAGACAUGGAGAAGAUUGCUCCCAAAGAGAAAGGCAUUACUGCUAUGUCAGUGAAAGAAGUCCUUCAAAGCUUAGUUGAUGAUGGUAUGGUUGACUGUGAGAGGAUUGGAACAUCGAAUUAUUACUGGGCUUUUCCAAGUAAAGCUCUUCAUGCAAGGAAACGCAAGUUGGAGGUUCUGGAAUCUCAGUUAUCUGAGGGAAACCAAAAGCACACAAAUCUACAGAAAAGCAUUGAGAAAGCUAAAAUUGGCCGACAUGAAACGGAAGAGCGAACCAUGCUAGCAAAAGAACUUUCUUCACUUCGAGACCAAAGGGAACAGCUAAAGGCAGAAGUAGAAAAGUACAAAGAAUGUGACCCACAAGUUGUGGAAGAAAUACGUCAAGCAAAUAAAGUAGCCAAAGAAGCUGCUAACAGAUGGACUGGAUCGCCAAGGAAAGGAACGGGAUGGCUCCCUGUAGUUUCAUUCCACAAGUUAGUUGUCCACUGAUGCUUCCAUGAAUAAAGCUGGAAGGAAGAUCUCACUUUGGGAGUAGAGCAAAGAGGACCUGGAAGGAGAAAAAACGGGAAUGAAGAAGCCCCAAGAAUUCCUAUGCCUGGACUCCGUUCUUUGGGACAUUUUUGCCUGAUGUAAAGAAACAUUGUCCCACCCAACCAACUUUACUGAUGUGCUACUCCCCAGCCUUAACUGGAAUUCCAUAUAGAAGCAGCCAAGAAGGCACUGACCAUCCAUUACAUCCUAUGGCUCUGCAUCUGGAUUCAAGUCCAAGGCUUACCUGAUGGCGGCAAACCUCUGGGCAUCACAUCUAUAUACAAGCAGGAAGAAGGACACAGAGUAAAAGACCUGUCCUAGCUGAGCUUAUUCCUUUUCAUCAUGAAGACAAGAGCUUUCUCUGAAGCCAUGCCUGUAGAGGUCUGUUUAUAUCUCACUGACCAGAAAUAAGCCAAACAGCCAUGCCAAAUUACAAGGGAGACGGGGAAGAUGACAACUUUUUGGUUUUUGUUACAUUUUGUUUUGCUUACUUUUUUGUUUUUCACUCAUGUAUCAUUCAUUUAAUCAUAUUUAAGCCUUUAGUGUAAUCACAUUUAAGGCAUCCUGUAUAAAUCACAUUCUAAGCUACCUUUAAAAAUUUUGUCUUUAGGGUGCCUGGGUGGCUCAGUUGUUAAGCGUCUGCCUUCGGCUCAGGUCAUGAUCCCAGGGUCCUGGGAUUGAGCCCCACGUCGGGCUCCCUGCUCUGCAGGAAGCCUGCUUCUCCCUCUCUCACUCCCCCUGCUUGUGUUCCUGCUCUCGCUGCGUCUCUCUCUGUCAAAUAAAUAAAAUCUUUAUUUUGUCUUUAA